UUCCCCCUGCACAGGAGCAGAACUUCUGCCCUGGGCAGAGCCCAUAGAGGCUGUGGGGUCUCCUCCUGGGGAUAAUCCAGAGCCAUCUGGACUCAAUCCUGUGCCCUGGGCUCUGGGAUGGCCCUGCCUGAGCAGGGAGGUGGCACCAGAUGACCCCACCGUGGUCCCUUCCAGCCUGACCCAUUCUGGGAUUUAUUAAAGAAUGCACAUAAAAAGUUCAGCAGAAUAAAUCAUAAUAGAUUAAAAAAAAACAACAACAACAAAACAAUCAACCAAACUCUGAAAUUACUGGAAAGCAUUGCAGAGAAAAGGAAUACAAAAGAUGAAAAAUUCCUCUGUACAUCAGAGACAAGCACCUCCAGACAGGAAAGAUCUUUUUCCUGGAGCUGCAGAGAAGAGGUGGUGUUUCUAUGUGGAAGACAGACAGAGUAUAAGAUCAAUCAGGAUCAAGAAUCGUAAAUUUCAUUUCUUCUCCCAGUGCUCUCACAAUUUCAGGUCCUGAAUUAAGCUGGAAAGUGUCAGGCUCCCCAGAUGUCAGCUCCAAAAUCAAAUACAUCAGCAAUGAGGAACUUGAUGGUGAAGCAGAUCAAAUGCAGCACUCAGCAGCUGAAGCCUAAUUCAAGAAUGCUAUGGAUUUUCUUAU